AUGGAGCAUAUCGCGAGGUUCUUCUUCGGGGUCUCAGGCAAUGUUAUCGCUCUGUUCCUCUUCCUGUCGCCGGUCGUCACCUUCUGGAGGAUCAUCAAGAGGAAGUCGACGGAGGACUUCUCCGGCGUGCCAUACAACAUGACGCUGCUCAACUGCCUCCUAUCCGCAUGGUACGGGCUGCCGUUCGUGUCCCCGAACAACAUCCUGGUGACGACGAUCAACGGCGCGGGGUCGGUGAUCGAGGCAAUCUACGUGGUCAUCUUCCUCAUCUUCGCGGAGCGCAAGGCCAAGAUCCGGAUGCUGGGCCUCCUCAGCGUGGUCACCACCAUCUUCGCCACGGUGGUGCUGGUGUCGCUGCUGGCGCUGCACGGCAAGGCUCGCACGGUCUUCUGCGGCCUCGCCGCCACCGUCUUCUCCAUCUGCAUGUACGCCUCGCCGCUCUCCAUCAUGAGGUUGGUGAUCAAGACCAAGAGCGUGGAGUACAUGCCGUUCCUGCUGUCGCUCUCCGUGUUCCUCUGCGGCACCUCCUGGUUCAUCUACGGCCUGCUCGGCCUCGACCCCUUCAUCUACAUCCCCAACGGGUGCGGGAGCUUCCUGGGCCUGAUGCAGCUCAUCCUCUACGCCAUCUACCGGAAGAACAAGGGCCCCGCUGCCGGCGCCGUGCCGGCCGGCAAGGGGGAGGACGCCGGCGACGAGGCCGACGAGGUGGAGGACGCCAAGAAGGCGGCCGCGGCGGUGGAGAUGGGCGAGGCAAAGAUCAAGGUCAAUGACGACACCGCCGUCGUCGACAAGGUCGCCGCCCAGGUGUAG
rnacentral:rRNA from 1 species